rnacentral:rRNA from 1 species
AGUGAACGCUGGCGGUAGGCCUAACACAUGCAAGUCGAACGGCAGCACAGUAAGAGCUUGCUCUUACGGGUGGCGAGUGGCGGACGGGUGAGGAAUACAUCGGAAUCUACUUUUUCGUGGGGGAUAACGUAGGGAAACUUACGCUAAUACCGCAUACGACCUACGGGUGAAAGCAGGAGAUCUUCGGACCUUACGCGAUUGAAUGAGCCGAUGUCGGAUUAGCUAGUUGGCGGGGUAAAGGCCCACCAAGGCGACGAUCCGUAGCUGGUCUGAGAGGAUGAUCAGCCACACUGGAACUGAGACACGGUCCAGACUCCUACGGGAGGCAGCAGUGGGGAAUACUGGACAAUGGGCGCAAGCCUGAUCCAGCCAUACCGCGUGGGUGAAGAAGGCCUUCGGGUUGUAAAGCCCUUUUGUUGGGAAAGAAAAGCAGCAGGUUAAUACCCCGCUGUUCUGACGGUACCCAAAGAAUAAGCACCGGCUAACUUCGUG